rnacentral:rRNA from 1 species
CCUACGGGAGGCAGCAGUAGGGAAUCUUCCGCAAUGGACGAAAGUCUGACGGAGCAACGCCGCGUGAGUGAUGAAGGUCUUCGGAUCGUAAAACUCUGUUGUCAGGGAAGAACAAGUGCCGUUUGAAUAAGGCGGCACCUUGACGGUACCUGACCAGAAAGCCACGGCUAACUACGUGCCAGCAGCCGCGGUAAU